rnacentral:rRNA from 1 species
ACGCUAGCUACAGGCUUAACACAUGCAAGUCGAGGGGCAGCAUGGUCUUAGCUUGCUAAGGCCGAUGGCGACCGGCGCACGGGUGAGUAACACGUAUCCAACCUGCCGUCUACUCUUGGACAGCCUUCUGAAAGGAAGAUUAAUACAAGAUGGCAUCAUGAGUCCGCAUGUUCACAUGAUUAAAGGUAUUCCGGUAGACGAUGGGGAUGCGUUCCAUUAGAUAGUAGGCGGGGUAACGGCCCACCUAGUCUUCGAUGGAUAGGGGUUCUGAGAGGAAGGUCCCCCACAUUGGAACUGAGACACGGUCCAAACUCCUACGGGAGGCAGCAGUGAGGAAUAUUGGUCAAUGGGCGCAGGCCUGAACCAGCCAAGUAGCGUGAAGGAUGACUGCCCUAUGGGUUGUAAACUUCUUUUAUAAAGGAAUAAAGUCGGGUAUGGAUACCCGUUUGCAUGUACUUUAUGAAUAAGGAUCGGCUAACUCCGUGCCAGCAGCCGCGGUAAUACGGAGGAUCCGAGCGUUAUCCGGAUUUAUUGGGUUUAAAGGGAGCGUAGAUGGAUGUUUAAGUCAGUUGUGAAAGUUUGCGGCUCAACCGUAAAAUUGCAGUUGAUACUGGAUAUCUUGAGUGCAGUUGAGGCAGGCGGAAUUCGUGGUGUAGCGGUGAAAUGCUUAGAUAUCACGAAGAACUCCGAUUGCGAAGGCAGCCUGCUAAGCUGCAACUGACAUUGAGGCUCGAAAGUGUGGGUAUCAAACAGGAUUAGAUACCCUGGUAGUCCACACGGUAAACGAUGAAUACUCGCUGUUUGCGAUAUACGGCAAGCGGCCAAGCGAAAGCGUUAAGUAUUCCACCUGGGGAGUACGCCGGCAACGGUGAAACUCAAAGGAAUUGACGGGGGCCCGCACAAGCGGAGGAACAUGUGGUUUAAUUCGAUGAUACGCGAGGAACCUUACCCGGGCUUAAAUUGCAGAUGAAUUACGGUGAAAGCCGUAAGCCGCAAGGCAUCUGUGAAGGUGCUGCAUGGUUGUCGUCAGCUCGUGCCGUGAGGUGUCGGCUUAAGUGCCAUAACGAGCGCAACCCUUGUUGUCAGUUACUAACAGGUUCCGCUGAGGACUCUGACAAGACUGCCAUCGUAAGAUGUGAGGAAGGUGGGGAUGACGUCAAAUCAGCACGGCCCUUACGUCCGGGGCUACACACGUGUUACAAUGGGGGGUACAGAGGGCCGCUACCACGCGAGUGGAUGCCAAUCCCAAAAACCUCUCUCAGUUCGGACUGGAGUCUGCAACCCGACUCCACGAAGCUGGAUUCGCUAGUAAUCGCGCAUCAGCCACGGCGCGGUGAAUACGUUCCCGGGCCUUGUACACACCGCCCGUCAAGCCAUGGGAGCCGGGGGUACCUGAAGUGCGUAACCGCGAGGAGCGCCCUAGGGUAAAACUGGUGACUGGGGCUAA